UAGGGAAUCUUCGGCAAUGGGGGCAACCCUGACCGAGCAACGCCGCGUGAGUGAAGAAGGUUUUCGGAUCGUAAAGCUCUGUUGUAAGUCAAGAACGAGUGUGAGAGUGGAAAGUUCACACUGUGACGGUAGCUUACCAGAAAGGGACGGCUAACUACGUGCCAGCAGCCGCGGUAAUACGUAGGUCCCGAGCGUUGUCCGGAUUUAUUGGGCGUAAAGCGAGCGCAGGCGGUUUGAUAAGUCUGAAGUUAAAGGCUGUGGCUCAACCAUAGUUCGCUUUGGAAACUGUCAAACUUGAGUGCAGAAGGGGAGAGUGGAAUUCCAUGUGUAGCGGUGAAAUGCGUAGAUAUAUGGAGGAACACCGGUGGCGAAAGCGGCUCUCUGGUCUGUAACUGACGCUGAGGCUCGAAAGCGUGGGGAGCGAACAGGAUUGGAUACCCUGGUAGUCCACGCCGUAAACGAUGAGUGCUAGGUGUUGGAUCCUUUCCGGGAUUCAGUGCCGUAGCUAACGCAUUAAGCACUCCGCCUGGGGAGUACGACCGCAAGGUUG
rnacentral:rRNA from 1 species